UUAUGUCCCAACGACAGAGUUCCAGAGAGUCAGCUUCGUGUUGGAUGUGCUGAUGCCUGAGGCCAUUGUCCACGCUCUUGUGGCAGUGGACAACCUCUCUGUAGCUGCGGCAAAGAGAAGAUUUAACGCGGGACCAUUGUAUGAUGAAAGGUAUUCUUUAGUGAAGUGCAAGAAUUUAAUGACAUUAUCAAGAUGCAGAAGAGGCAGUAGAUUGAGGCCGAG